rnacentral:lncRNA from 1 species
UUCCCAGGCCAGGGAUUAAACCCAUGCCACAGUGGCAACCCGAGCCACUGCAGUGACAACAUGGAAUCCUUAACCCACUGCCCCAAAGAAGAACUCCUAAGAACUAAACUUUUGUUCUUGAUUUUUAAGGUGACAAAAGUAUGAGUGUUCAUUCACUCCACAAAUGUGUAUAAUUUUUAUACCAGAUAUUCUGCUUAAGUACUAUAGAUAGAGUGCCUGUACAAUCAGAGAUAGUCUUUGCCUUCAUAUUCUGCUCAUAUCAAGAGGAGGCUCAGGAAGAUGGCAAUCAUUCAAGCGUCUGUGUGGAGGAAGGGAGUGAGUAUAAAGACAAAGAAUUUGGAAUAUGAAAUGCAGAGAGAAAUUCGCUAAAAUUCCUGGAACUGAGGACUUGUAGUCCUAUCAUACAUCCCUUUAUCAGAAAUAACUUUACUACUAUUUUAAUGAUAGGAAUUCUUGUUUUUUGUAUGGAAACAACUAACAAAUAAGAAUAUUUACCACUGAAAAUAUACAUUUAAGAAUCAGUUGACAUGUCUCACUAAUAAUUCCUAGUGUUUCUUUGCCACAUAUAUAAAAGCAUUAUCUAAUUGCCUUUUCCUACCUUGAAGCUAGCCCCACAAUGAAAGCAAAUCCUAAAAAACUAAAGCACACACACACAAAAUAUGAAUGAAAAUUUAAAAUAAAACCUCUUCAACCCAUUAUAUUCACCAUCAUAAAUAUAAGAUCACUCUGACAAGUAAUAGAACACUGGUCAAAAAGAAUAGCUAGGCUAAAAUUUCUACAUGCUGGUAAUAGUUGCAAACUUUCACUAUGCUGCCAUAUUAUCAGUCUUAAUGAAAUUCACUUGUCAGUUAUAUUUUAAAACAGUGAAGUCUGGCCCUGCAGGACAAGGGUAAAAAUUAAAAUUUCUUUUCUUUUCCUAAUCAAAUCAGAUAACAAUGAAAAAUAAGAAAAAGGAGUAAUUCAGAAACUUCUGUCACUAAUUGGCCAAAAACAGAUUCGCUUCCAGAUUCCUUUCUUCUGCUUUUUUUGUGUCCACUAGUGAUCUCUUCAAAUAUUACCAUCAGCUGCUCUUUCAAAAGACUCACUCUGUUGCCAACAAGCAUAUUGAGUAAAACUAGCCAAAAAUAUGUAGUACUAUACGAGAGUAAAGAAUAAUGUAGUAGAUUGUCUGGAAUUUACUUCUACCCAAGCUGCAGGGUUUAUUAUCACUAUCAUAUACUGGGUAUUGAACCUAUCCUAUCAUAGAAUAUGUCACAAAGGAGCUCAGUGUAAAACAGAGAAGGCAAAGAUACUUGCCUGUUCAGCUUGACUUUAACUAUGAACUUAUAUAUGCCUUGACGAAUUUCAGGACUCUUAAAAAUAAGCCUGAUAAGAGAAGAGGUCAUAUUUAUUUUUUUAUCCCUGUUUAUUGGGCACCUUUUCAAGCCUAGUAUAUUAGGCACAUUAGACUUUAUAUUUUCCAGUGUUCUUAUUUUAAGUUUUUGUUUAAGUGUUAAACAUGGCAACCCCAUUAAAAUUAAGUAUGGCCUAGAAGAUGAUAGGAAAAUUCAACUCAAAUGACAAAUGAACCUGAUAAAGUCUAGGCACUAAAACCUACCAGUUGGACCCCGAAUUUAUGUUCUACUCUGUACAUUUUAUUGUGCUUAACACGGUCCCACACUCUCUAAUGAUGUCCAAUGUUUCAUUUACUCCUUCAUUUAAUAAUGCAUACAUUUAACAAACAUUUAAAUACUUGUCACACAAUAUAAGUACAAUAUUGUCCUGGGUGCAAGAAGGCAGAAGGUUUGAAGGAUUGGAUAUUAAUAUUUUCCUUACAAACCUAAAAAUAUACUUAAAUAAUAAUGUAAUAAGUCCAUUCUUUCAUGAUUUUAGGAAAGAAAUGACUGUUUUUCCAUUCCUUGAGAAAUAUCACAAAUAUAGGUUAAUAAAUGAAACUAAUGCAGUUAAUGUGGUACUAGGAAAUGAUAUUCAAUAAACCAACCACAGAACUAGAUGUAAAAUGCUCACAUUCUUCUGCUUGUUAGUGAAGGACUUCAGUGAGUAAAAAUGAAGAUAAACUUUGUGUAUCUCAGUUUCCCAAUGAGUAAAUGGAAACAAACUAACUCCAUAUUUCCCACAGAAGAAACUUAUAAAAGUCAAACAGAAAACACUUCCAAGGAAGUAUUAUACAUAUGUUUUCUCAUAAUAACAAAAAUGUCUUAUAGUCAUGACAAGAGAAUUAUUCAGUGCUUGAUGAGCAAGUGACAGAGCAUGUUACCACUCUGAAGGGAUGUAACUCUUGUAGCACAAGAAAAAGGGCAGAAAACCAAUACAUACUUUUACUUUUCCAAAAGGCAAACCUCACAUUAAAUAAAUAAAAUUCAAAUCAGAAAAGUGAAAACCACAAUGACUUCUAAAGACUCAGAGAUCUGUACAAACUUACAAAUAAUGUAAGUUAAGGAAAUGAUGUGAAGAUUUGUCACUAAAACAAAUAAAAUCUACAAGUUCAGAAAAAGUAAAAUUAUUCCAACAUGCUUACAAGUAUUAUAUAUAAAUAUUUAUAUUAAAGAUUAAAAUUUUCAGACAGAACAUUAGUAAAAUUUACAAAAAUACAACAAAACUCUUAAAUCCAAUUGACUGGUUAUGCUUACAUUUUUUAAAAGACUAGCAUAAUAGCAUUAAUUACUGCAUAGAAGCCACAGUUUGAAUUUCACCUGGAAUUUAGAUUCUCUGCUAUACUUUGAUAUUUACUAAGUUUUGCUAGGAUCCUAAUACACCAAUUUUUCUGAAACUAUUCCAAUUAGAAAGGAAUCCUUUCCUUGCAUAUUCUGCAGAAACUUCACUCAUCAAGCUUUUUAGCAUAUUAAUGUGAUAAUACAGAAAAUUAUUAUUACAAUUUUAUUUAAAGGUUCACAAAAUGCAGGGCCAGAGAGACAGGUAUGGUUCCAGAUCAUAAAACAGCAGUGUGUUUUCUUAAAACUAACUUUUAGUGAUUUCAGACUUGAACUAUGUGUGUGUUUUUCUAGGAGAACAACUCUAAAAUGGCAUACAAAUUGUGUUCUCAGCCAUCUUUCAUACUGAUACCCUAUUAUUGACAUGACUUAGACAGUCUCUCCUACAGAGAAAUGCUGAAGUCUAUACUGCCUUGUUUUACUCAGUUUAAAGGAUUUUUGUUUUUGUUCUGCUGUGUCAAUAUAGCCUUUCAUUCCCAUUCACUAGCAUUAAAUAUGAAAUAGUAGAUUUCAUUACAACAUUGUAAAGCAACUAAACUCUAAUUUAAAAAAUGGAAAAGAGGAGUUCCCGUCAUGGCGCAGUGGUUAACGAAUCCGACUAGGAACCAGGAGGUUGCGGGUUCGAUCCCUGGCCUUGCUCAGUGGGUUAAGGAUCCGAUACUAGUUAGAUUCAUUUCCGCUGAGCCAAGAUGGGAAAUCUUGAAGGUUAUUUUUUUUUAACAUGACACAUUUUGCUCUGGAUUUCAACAAAAUACAUAUUAUUUAUCCACUGUCACUUGAGAAUUCUAGUAAAAUUACUGCUUUUCUGAAGUAGCAUAAAAACCUUCUUUAAAAAUAAUCUAGUAUCCUCAAAGGAAAUAUUCGAUCGAUUUUUUUUCAUUAAUUGAUAUACAUUAAUAUAACAACCAUUAAGUAACAUAUCAAACACAUUAAACACAUUUUAAUCAUGCUCACUUAAGUGAAACAUACAAAUAAAACAUUUUCAUGUGACUUCUAUCUUGGUAUAAUUCAAACACUGAAAAACAACCUAAAGAAUAUGGAAAGAAAACUUAUGAUCUUUCUUCACCUGAGAUGAAAACUGUCAAAGGACUCACGGGCAUAAAAUAAUUAAAAGCAAACACUAAAAAUACACCAACAUUCAGACACUGGACAUUACCAAAUUUAGGUUAAUGGCACACAGCAAAAAGCAAAGCAGAUGUAGCAUCACGCCAAUUCAGAUACAUAUUCUAAAGCACAGAGUCAUGCUGAUAACUACAUUUUUAAAAAAUUCCUAUUUGUAGAAAAAUACAAAUUUUUUCAACACUUUCUACACAUGAAAGCAUUUAAACUAAAACUAGAUUUUUGUAAAAAUAGAGGAAAAAAAUGAAUUGAGCUUCAUAAAAUCCCAUUACAAAACAAAGUUUUUCUAGGGAUGAAGGUAUCAUAUGAUUACCCUAUAGUUUUUCUUUUAUAUAGAGAAACCUACUCAUAGAUGUUCCAUUUGUUCCAAAACACUAUUUAAUGCCAUUUCUAAAAUAAUGAAAUUCCUUAAGAUAUACAUACGAUAUAAAUGGACAGAAUUAUUUGGAGAUAAAAAAUGUAUAUUAGGCAUAUAAUGCUAAUAUGAAAAUUAAACAUGAUAGCUUGCAAUUUAGUUACACAGACCUUGCAUCUACCAAUCUAUUCAGCACUUCUACUGUCUUUUGAUUAAAUCAAGUAAGAUAAUGUAUACGAAGUGCUUUUUAGCUCUAACGACAAGUGUACAUAUUAAAUACAGUUACUGUAAUAUUUUUGGAAUUAAAUAUUUAAUAUAUAAAUGGGGUAAAUGGAAUACUAGCAUUUCCUUUCCUCAACACUAUGAAAUGGCUACUCAUUUUCAAAUGUUCAGGGAAGUGUCUACAGAUUACUUUACAUUAGGAAAAGCCUGAGAUAUGACCCACUUCUACAUCCAAAUGCUACAAUUCAUUAUAAAAUAUCAAGCAUAUGAAUUUAUAAAUCAGGAGACAUAUGACUAAACUAAAAACCAUUUCAAGGAAAAUUCUGGUUACCUUAGAAUCAAAGAUUGUUACAUAUUGGUGGGAAUUUACCAAAAGGACUAUGGAACACCUUUAUGGAGACUGCUUAAGAAUGAUACAGAAUGAUAUAGAAAUAUCCACCUUACUUGAGUGAGAUUUACCAAAUCUCCUAUACAGAAGGCUUAGGUCAAUAACUUCCUAAUAUCUUAGUUCUCCAUUUCCAGAACUCUAACACCAAAUGAAUAUAAGAAUGUAGUACAAAUAUGUAUACUAGUUCAUCAUUUGUUUAAAGCAGUAGUUCUUAAAAUGUACUCUUGAAAAGCACAAGUGUUUCUACAUGCUAAGUUGUAGCAUCCCAUGGCUAAAGUAAAAUAAUAACUGUAUUUUCCCAUCACAAAAAUUCAAUUUCUAGAACUUGCCAAAUUUAAAUUUCUUGUAAGAAAAACGGAGUUCCUGUUGUGGCUCAGUGGUUAACAAACCUGACUAGUAUCCAUGAGGAUAUGGGUUAGAUCCUUGGCCUCACUCAGUGGGUUAAGGAUCUAGCAUUGCUGUGAGCUGUGGUAUAGGUCACAGACAUGGCUUGGAUCCCACAUUGCUGUGUCUGUGGUGUAGGCUGGCAGCUACAGCUCUGAUUCGACCCCUAGCCUGGAAACCUCCAUAUGCCAGGGAAAUGGCCCUCAAAACACAAAAGACAAAAAAAUUAUAUUAAAUCACUGCUAUCAACUACCUCUUAUCUAUAGUGAAAGGGCAAACAACAUGAAUGAAUAUAGUAAAUGAAUAUGAAUGACAAAAAUGGAAAGCAGUCUUAUUUUGUCAGUUCUUUUAAAGUGACCCUUAGGCUUCCAGUUGUGACUUUACUUUGUAUAUGUAUGUUUAAAAAACCAUGUUCACAGCUAGUUUGAAUGAUGGAAUUAUAUAUUUCUUUUUGGAAUAGAGAUUUUGUUUUUGUUUUUAAAUCUACAACACCAGUGGGUUGUUUUAGGAGCUCUUAUAUUCCUUUCCAGCUUUGAAGGAUCCCACUGAGAUCCCGCUGAUAAAUCUAUAUAGUCUUGUAUCCUCAACUCUUCAAUGGCAAACAGAUUACCCAUGUGUUCUUUAAAGAAACAAUUCAUAAAUGCAUAUUUAUGUUUAGUUAUGUGAAUUUUAGAAGGGCAGAAAGAAAACUGUUAAAGAAAUUUGAAAAUAUGCAUAGCAGUAUUUACUUUCUGCUGAAAAUGUUUAGAGAAAAAAAAACAUUUUUUUAAAAAGAAUUUUCUCCCUUUAUAUUAUAUGGUCCAUAUCAAGAGUUGUGUUCUUUUCAGAAACAAAAUCUUAUACAUUAUGGAACUAUUCUGUCUGUUUAUAUUAUAAUGAACUUAUACUUAGUUCCAUAU